rnacentral:lncRNA from 1 species
AUGCCAACUCCAGACUCACCUCGAGCUCCCCUUGUCUGGGAAGCAGCUCCCUCCACUGCAGCCACUCAACACAGCUGGUCUCAUUGCCGCAGGGCAUGCCCCUCUGUGGCCAUCCAGGCCUCCUCCCCAACACACCCACAGAAGUCUGUGUCCCAUCCCCGCAAAGGGCUCCCAGAGUGCCCCUGUGUGGACGUCUACACCCAGGGCCACAGCACUGAACCCUUUCUCACUGUUUUCCAGGAGGGAGCUCUCUCAGGCCCAGGGGGUGUUGAUCAGAGCCCCAAAGCUCACACCUCCUCUUCUGUCUCUGCCUUCAUGUCUUCAGGAGCUCCUCCCACAUGAAGAGUCUUGGCUCCUGCUCUGCCACACUGACAACAUCUGUCUUCCAGCAGAUUCCUAAUACUGAGCAGCUUAGGGGCAGCCAUAUUUCACAGACCUGGUUUCCAAUUUUGCACAAUCUGCAUCUCCUCCUGUGCACAGAGGAGGAAACCAGGCUUCCAGCCCCAGAGCUGGCAAAUGCAGAGACCCUAGGCUCCCUGUGUGCCAGGACCACCGGCCUUGCCCUCUGCUACUUGGGGCAUCCUGCAGCAUGUGGAACCUGGACAGGCAGCCACACAGAGGGAAUGCCAGGCAUGCCCCCAAAGCAGCAAUGGUGAGGAAGGACCUGUGUGCUCAGUGUGAGCUCAGGACAGCAGCAUCAUGCUAGGAGUUCAGAAAUGAUCUCUCCUCAUUUUAACCGAGAAGAUUCUGAGGCCCGGAUCCACUGCCCUCCCUCCCAAAGGCCAGACUCAAGAGGAGGCAGUGCAGGAGGAUGUUGCAGCUGGGCCUGUCUCCUCACAGCUCGGACAUGGCAUUGGCCAAGGUGCAGUCUUUGCACGCAGGCCCAUCUGCUCUGCAAGGCCUUGUCGGGGAGAUGGCAAGCUCUGGGGCUGCAUCGCACCCAAUCGUGUCCCCCAGCCUGUUUCCUCACUUUACAUGGGACAGAAGACCUGCCUGCAGGGGGGCUUGAUGCUGUACAAGACAGUGAUUAAAACACAUGGACACAGGGAGGGGAGCACUACACACUGGGGUCUGUUGGGGGGAAUAGGGGAGAGACAGCAGGGGGUGGGGAGUUGGGGAGAGAUAACAUGGGGAGAAAUGCCAGAUAUAGGUGAAGGGGAGGAAGGCAGCAAAUCACACUGCCACGUGUGUACCUAUGCCACUAUCUUGCAUGUUCUUCACAUAUACCCCAAAACCUAAAAUGCAAUAAAAAAAAAAAGACAGUGAUUAGAGGUGCCAGGCACAGGCACACAGCAGGCGCUCAGCAAACGCUCACUCCCGGGUCCCUGUGUGCCCAUCUAAGAACAGCCAGGCUUCAGGCCUCCAGCAGGCCUCUUGGUGGGGCAGCCUCUCUGACAUGGCCUCUGCCCCCUGUAUCUGGACCCCUUGUGAGUGGACCCCAGACCAGAAGCAGCCGGGAGGUGGAGCCUCUGAUGGAUCUCUGAAUUCUAUGAUCAUGGGUGGGCAAUGACAGCUGGAAUUACUCACAUUUUAUAGAUAAAAAGCUACCUCUCCCACAGCAGACAGCAACUGACAAGGUUGUUAAGAUUCGUGCAUACUGGGCAAUGCAUCUGAAGGAAAUCGGACCCAGGCGGGAACACCAGCGGCAGCCUAAGUGUUGGCGGAAGCAGGCCUGUUGCUGAAUUGUGACAUUUGGAGAAAUCACUGUUUUAGCUGCUGCUGGCUCCUCUCAAAGUCCUGACCCAAGAGCUGCUGGAUGCACCUUCCCUGAUGGCUCUCAGGGACACCAGGCUCUGGUUGCAUCCUCAAUUGACCCCUUUGUGGGAGUCAAAGAAAAGCUGCUUCCAUGGACUUUGGUCCUAGAUGAAGCCACAGUGGCAGGAAGUGGUAGCUGGCUGCUCCCAGGGUUUAUUUGGUUGGGACAAGAGAUCCCGAAACUGUCCUUGGGGAGGAGCUUAGGCACUGCUGAGUUGAUGCAUGCCUUGAAGUGUGGAGGGAGAGG